rnacentral:rRNA from 1 species
CUUAGAACCGCUGCCACCACAAGAGUAAGAGGAAAACAACAGACGCACAAACGAACCUUCCGACUAACGCCUAAAGUCAGGGGUUGCUCGUCGUUGUCGUCGCUGUCGCUGUCGGCUAAGCGGCCGGCUUAAGCACGCUGGAGGCCGCCUUAGACUGCGCCGCCGCGCAUCCAGACGCGCUAAACCCUAACUUGGACCAGUCCUUAGCCGCCAGCCUCGCUUACUGCCAUGGCCUCCGCCAUCGUGAUCUGUAUGGCCGCCUCCUCCCAAGCGGCCACCGGUCCCACGGCGCCGCCUAGUCCUCCUCCGAGGAGGUCCGCGCGCUCAGUUCGCGGCUGCGUGGCCGUUGGCGGCCUCUCUAGCUCCGGUUUGAGGCGCUGCGGGUUGAGGCCUCCGUCGUUAAGGUACUUUGUAAUAGUACGUUUCGUUCUGUACGUCAGUCCUCGUGAAGUGUCGGUAGAGUCCUCCUCCUAGGGUUCGUUGCGGAACUUCGUUUCGAACACCGACGAUUCGUCUUCUCCAACUCGGAGGACCUCUUUCUCGUCUUAGCAAAUCGAUUUGACCUACUCGACGCAGUCCGACGAUUCUUCCUACGUCUUUACUCCAAGUUGUCCCUUUCCCUCCUCGAACCGUACUCUCAACUCGUAGCCCAUGUCGUUCGUCUCCUCUUGGCAUAAGUUGAGAACGUACGAGCAAACGUCUCCGCUCGACGCGACCUCCUCUCCUGUUUUUUCAAGAAACCCGUUUCUCACUGUAGUCUCUUAUUCAUGUCCCUCUGUUGUCACCACAACCGACGCCGGAAACUGCACGACCCUUAUUUAGUCCUUAGACGAUUAAGAGACGGUAAACUUUUUGAUCGGGAGACAUAACUUAGAUGUUUUCAAGAAGUCUGGCGGUCCCGUAACGAACUAACGAACCUCUCAACAAAAUAAGAAAGACUCUGUAGUUCAAGUACGUGUGGUCUUUUAUAGCUAGUAGACGAGUUCGUGGACCCUAGUGGUUUAUGCUCUUAGGAUGGUUCAUCACGUCGUUCUCGAUCUCAUUGUGGUUUUUCCUGUUGAUUUUUAAGACUGCGACCGUUCAAUGGAUCUAUAAGUGGUUCCCAUCACGAAACACGAAUGUACUAAGAUCCAGUAGGUCCCCGACAAAAAUUACAUGUUCCGCUCGCUCUCUUUGAUGAACACCUCAGUCGUUGUUUGAAACACUUCCUUAAACUUGACGACUACUUCUGUUAUGAACUACCCAAUCUACCACGUACGUAUAACGUCGUCAGAUGUAAUCCACGUCAGAGAGGACCUAGAAGAUUAUUGGUCCUCACAAGAAGUUAACGACGACUAGCUUGUUUUAAGUCUAGAGUCGACCGAAGAAAACUAUUUCGAACCACACGAAUAGAAAUGGUGAAACACCACACCUUUCGUUUUCUACGGUUCAGCGAUCUCCUUCUAGAGCACUGUCGACGUACGUUCGAACUCGAGAGUUACUACGUUUGUACGUUUAAUUGAUGACUUCCGUACAGUCUAUCGGAAUUAAUAUGAUUAUAAUUAAGUUGUCGGUAGGUCUUUGUCCAAUACCAUCUGGUCUUUGAAAAUUCCCUCUUCCAAACCGUGGAUCCACCACUUCGACCAUAACUCUCCUACCUUGAACGAAAUAGUCUUUGUUCCAGUUUCAAGUAACCUCGGUUCCUUUUAUCCUCGGGGAACCGUUGUAGUCUACGUUUACAGCGUAGAGAAAGACCUGUCAGAGAAGAAAGACUGUGGUUUCUAUUAAACCCAUUCCUACCACUUUCCGAUCCAUCUCAACAAGUUAGAAACAGGUUCCGAAGAAGAAGUUGCAGAGUUUCAUUGUGAUCUCUGUUACCACCAGUUUACUCGUCGUGUCCCAGUCCUCUCGACGGUUAUCUCUUACUCGAACAGCCUAUAAACAACUUUCGAAGGGGAAGUGGUAGACCUUCAUUGAGUCCUCUGUUCCAGUAGUCGUCGGUUUACUCGUCUUGCCACGGUCUUUUCGACGGUUGUCUAUUACUUGUUUACCAGUUACUCUAAAACGUACCAAGAAAAAGACUAUCGAGACUACUGCAACCAUUUCAACUCCCCCUAAAGUUCCGUGUUCAAUCCCUUUGUUACCUCUUUCGAAAGACCCUACACCAACACCUAAGUUACUUUCCUCUGUGUGGUCUAAUGUCAAUAGACCAGUUGGAUCAUUUGCUUCAGUCCCUACGUAACGUGGUCUACCGGUCAUUUCCCACCUUUCUUCUUUAUUGUUUGUUAUAAUUGGAACUUUAUAACAGGGUCCAUGAACUCAGCUCGUGGGUCCCGUGUGUUAUAAACCCCGUCUAAGACGUCAUGAGAGACCCGUACGACGCAUUUAAUAGAAGAGGGCGUUUCCUUCUUCUUUACUUCUAGUCAGUACUGUUUAAUAACUUGCUUAACUAGCCUGUGAGACUAAGAGUACUAUCUCUAGGUUUACGUAAACAUUAUCGACAGUAGUUCCCGAACGCCAAGUGAUACCUUCUCAAUUUCCGAGAAGUCAGACUUCAGUCAUCUCGUGCUUAGGUUGAUAACUUUGGUUAAUAUUUCCCGAGUCCACCCCAGCUCAUGGACGUCUUUCGAAAACGGCUAGCGAUACCUAGGGCAAGGUUACGUAAUCACAGAGAGUGAAGUUGAUAAGUCACCUAAAGAUGGAGUUUCCUAUACCAUCUUCUUCUUACCUUACUUAUACAGUCGAGGAAUGUCUAGGACGGACGUAGUCUGUUACAAGUCGGUAACCAAUGCUGGGAGGCUCGACCAGCACCUUGAGGUCUAGUCGUUGUUAGAUGUCACGGACAUCGUCCUUCAUGUCUCUAGGAUGGUCUCACGAGCCCUCUUUGCUAGCUGUCCGAUCAUUCCUAACCCGACAAUGUCGAAUAGUCGUCCUACCUCCCGUACCUUUCUUUUAGUCAUGGGCUUUGUAAAUUCGAGUUGACCAACUCCAACGCACCACAGGUCUCAGUCAAGGUUGUUCACUAACAAUAGCGUUGUUCGUACGAACAGGUCGCAGUUCAUAACUACUCACUCCUGAGUUUCCGGUGAGGGAGUCUUGACCUUUUAAGAUGGAACCUUGACAAGUUGUGCGAACGUCUCGAUGAUCUGUCAAAAAGACUACAACCGUACCUAGUCUAGUAGCUCCACUACCAGGCAAGCAGCUGGAGCCGGCCGGGAACAAGCCUACUUUACCAACUCUUGUCCUUCGUCUAUAACUCGUCCCAGAAGGAGUUUUCGGAGGUCUGACUACUGUGACAGAAGUCCUUCCACAGAGCUAGACAAGUGACGCGCAAGGCACGUCAGUGGGAUCCACCGUUGCCCUGCUUCCCGUCCUUUGAGCGGCUCCGCCGGGACCCCGCGUAGCCCCGCUGUUUCGAGUGGCUGGCGCAUCACUUCCGUCGACUCCACGACUAGUUUCAUCGUUGUUAUAGUCUCGUCCAAGUACCGGGCACCCACCCACUAGUAUCGGCGACCCAGCUUGUAGCGCUACGUAGGGGCCACCUUUUAAGACGUUAUCAAAAGAAGAUCCUAGUGACCUUGUCAGGAAGACAAAACAGGCACUGGUGUGCGACCGAAAAGACGUGUCAAUAGAUGAUAAGAAUUUUUCAACACGAAGUACACAUGACCAAAGUCGUGUUAAAAAUGUUAGACCCACAUAUAUUUACAUCACGAUAUAUUCAACUCACCUUGGUGUAUGUGCUGUGCUCAUUCUAGCUUCGAUACACAAGUCAGUUCCACGUUUGUUCGUUAAGUAUAACGCCAUCAUAGAGUCGUAUAUGAAACAA